rnacentral:rRNA from 1 species
AUUGAACGCUGGCGGCAGGCUUAACACAUGCAAGUCGAGCGAGCGGCGGACGGGUGAGUAAUGUAUGGGAAACUGCCUGAUGGAGGGGGAUAACUACUGGAAACGGUAGCUAAUACCGCAUACCAUCAGAUGUGCCCAGAUGGGAUUAGCUAGUAGUUGGGGUAAUGGCUCACCUAGACGACGAUCCCUAGCUGGUCUGAGAGGAUGACCAGCCACUCUGGAACUGUGACACGGUCCAGACUCCUACGGGAGGCAGCAGUGGGGAAUAGUGCACAAUGGGCGCAAGCCUGAUGCAGCCAUGCCGCGUGUGUGAAGAAGGCAUUCGGGUUGUAAAGCACUUGCAGCGAGGAGGCGUUACUCGCAGAAGAAGCACCGGCGAACUACGUGCCAGCCGCCGCGGUAAUUC